GCACUGCUGAGGAGUCCCAUAAUAGGAUGAAACGGCCGACCAGUGC
rfam:Schistosoma curassoni strain Dakar, Senegal genome assembly, scaffold: SCTD_contig0000678